rnacentral:tRNA from 1 species
UGCCUAGUAACUCAAUUGGUAGAGUGCAGAGCUGUUAACUCUGAUGUUCCUGGUUCGAGCCCAGGCUAGGCAGCCA